CACGGCGGCACUAGCGCGGUGGUCCCACUGACCCCAUGCCGCCGGCUCAGAAGUGAAACGCCGUAGCGCCGUGGUAGUGUGGGGUCUCCAUGCGAGUAGGGAACUGCCGAGG
rnacentral:rRNA from 1 species